AUAUUAAAGUUGUUGCAGUUAAAAAGCUCGUAGUUGAACCUUGGGCCUGGCUGGCGGNCCGNUCACCGCGUGCACUGGUUCGGCCGGGCCUUUCCUUCUGGGGAACCGCAUGCCCUUUACUGGGCGUGUUGGGGAACCAGGACUUUUACUUUGAAAAAAUUAGAGUGUUCAAAGCAGGCCUUCGCUCGAAUACUUAGCAUGGAAUAAUAGAAUAGGACGUGCGGUUCUAUUUUGUUGGUUUCUAGGACCGCCGUAAUGAUUAAUAGGGAUAGUCGGGGCCAUCCGUAUUCAAUUGUCAGAGGUGAAAUUCUUGGAUUUAUUGAAGACGAACUACUGCGAAACGAUUUGGCAAGGAUGUUUUCAUUAAUCAGUGAACGAAAGUUAGGGGAUCGAAGACGAUCAGAUACCGUCGUAGUCUUAACCA
rnacentral:rRNA from 1 species